rnacentral:lncRNA from 1 species
AUAAUUCCACUUACACUAAGACUCAAGUUGGUAAUAUUCUACACUUAUUACUAUAUAUACGUAUAUGUAUGCAAAAUUGAAAAAUCGAGGGCUUUCCAAUUUGAAUGCCCUGUGCGGUAGCACCAUUUGCACCCCUCAACGCCGGCCCUGUCUAGGACAUAGUCAUAUGGGCGUAUACAUCAAACAAAGUCCAAUAAAAAUAAUCGCUUCAGUAUCUAAGGUUGUUGAGCAUCGGCAAAAAUGGACGGAAGUUAGAAGUCGGAACUAGAGCCAAAAUGUACAAUUCAAACGCCUGAACCUUUUUUGUCCACCAACUGGAGUCUACAGUAUUUUUAUAAUCACAAUAAGGCUUAUUUUUAGCUAUACCCUUUGUAACUUGAUUUUAAU